rnacentral:rRNA from 1 species
GACGAACGCUGGCGGCGUGCUUAACACAUGCAAGUCGAACGGAAAGGCCCUGCUUUUGUGGGGUGCUCGAGUGGCGAACGGGUGAGUAACACGUGAGUAACCUGCCCUUGACUUUGGGAUAACUUCAGGAAACUGGGGCUAAUACCGGAUAGGAGCUCCUGCUGCAUGGUGGGGGUUGGAAAGUUUCGGCGGUUGGGGAUGGACUCGCGGCUUAUCAGCUUGUUGGGGGGGUAGUGGCUUACCAAGGCUUUGACGGGUAGCCGGCCUGAGAGGGUGACCGGCCACAUUGGGACUGAGAUACGGCACAGACUCCUACGGGAGGCAGCAGUGGGGAAUAUUGCACAAUGGGAGGAAGCCUGAUGCAGCAACGCCGCGUGCGGGAUGACGGCCUUCGGGUUGUAAACCGCUUUCGCCUGUGACGAAGCGUGAGUGACGGUAAUGGGUAAAGAAGCACCGGCUAACUACGUG